rnacentral:rRNA from 1 species
UACGUAGGGGGGCUAGCGUUGUCCGGAAUCAUUGGGCGUAAAGAGCGUGUAGGCGGCCCGGUAAGUCCGCUGUAAAAAGUCAAAAGGCUCAACCUUUGAAUGUCAGUGGAUACUGCCGGGCUAGAGUCCGGAAGAGGCGAGUGGAACUCCUGGUGUAGCGGUGGAAUGCGCAGAUAUCAGGAAGAACACCAACGGCGAAGGCAGCUCGCUAGGACGGUACUGACGCUGAGACGCGAAAGCGUGGGGAGCGAACAGG